AGCUCAGUCGGCAGAGCAUCCGCCUGUUGAGCGGGGUCGCAGGUUCGAACCCUGCC
rnacentral:tRNA from 1 species